rnacentral:lncRNA from 1 species
UCUUUUUCUUUCUUUUCUUUUGUAGUCAUCUCUUUCUCUGCCUUCUCCUUACCAACCUUCUUCUCAGCAGACUUACCUUUCUGUGCUUUUUCCUUGGCUACCUUUUCUUUCUCAUGUCUCUCUGUCUCCUUUGCUACAGUCUCUUUUUCAGCUCUUUCUUUAUCUUCUUUUUCCUUUACCAAUUUCUCCUUCUCUGCCCUUUCUUUCUCUGCUUGCUUAGCAAGCCUUUCUUUUUCUGCCUGUACCUUCGCCAUUCUUUCACUCUCUACCUUCUCCUUGGCUAACCUUUCCUUCUCUCCCUUCUCCUUUGCAAGUCGUUCUUUCUCUGCCUGCUCUUUAGCCAGUCUUUCCUUCUCUCCCUUCUCCUUUGCAAGUCGUUCUUUCUCUGCCUGCUCUUUAGCCAGUCUUUCCUUCUCUCCCUUCUCCUUUGCAAGUCGUUCUUUCUCUGCCUGCUCUUUAGCCAGUCUUUCCUUCUCUCCCUUCUCCUUUGCAAGUCGUUCUUUCUCUGCUUGCUCUUUAGCUAGGCGCUCUUUUUCAAUUUUUUCCUUCGCUAGCCUCUCUUUCUCUGCCUGCUCUUUUGCUUGUCUCUCCUUCUCCGCUUUCUCUUUGGCUAGUCUCUCUUUCUCUGCCUGCUCUUUAGCUAACCGCUCCUUUUCAGCUUUCUCCUUAGCUAGUUUCUCUUUCUCUGCCUGCUCUUUUGCUUGUCUCUCCUUCUCCGCUUUCUCUUUGGCUAGUCUCUCUUUCUCUGCCUGCUCUUUAGCUAGCCGCUCCUUUUCAGCUUUCUCCUUAACUAGCCUCUCUUUCUCUGCCUGCUCUUUAGCCAGUCUUUCCCUCUCUCCCUUCUCUUUUGCAAGUCGUUCUUUCUCUGCUUGCUCUUUAGCUAGCCGCUCUUUCUCAGCUUUCUCCUUGACUAGUUUUUCUUCCUCUGCUCUUUGCUUUUCCUCUUUUUCUUUGGCUAGUCUCUCUUUCUCAGCCUUUUCUUUUGCUAGCCCUUCUUUCUCUGCUCUCUCUUUUUCUGCACCCUCCUUGGCAAGUCUUUCCCUUUCUAUCUUUUCCUUUUCAUCCCUCUCUUUUUCUGCCUGCUCCUUGGCUACCUUAUCCCUUGCUGCCUUCUCCUUCUCUGCUUCCUCUGUUAUUUUCCUCUCAUCCUUUAUCGAUGCUUCCUUCUCUCGUUCCUCUCUUUCCUUCAUCUCCUUUUUUUCUUUAAGCUUGGCUUCUGCCUCUUCCUUCUCUCUCUGA